UGACCACCACCAUCAGGGCAACUUCUCCGGU
rnacentral:piRNA from 1 species